UACGUAGGGUGCAAGCGUUGUCCGGAUUUAUUGGGCGUAAAGAGCGUGUAGGCGGCCAGGUAGGUCGGCUGUGAAAACUCGAGGCUCAACCUCGAGCUGUCGGCCGAAACCAUCUGGCUAGAGUCCGGAAGAGGAGAAUGGAAUUCCCGGUGUAGCGGUGAAAUGCGCAGAUAUCGGGAAGAACACCCGUGGCGAAGGCGGUUCUCUGGGACGGUACUGACGCUGAGACGCGAAAGCGUGGGGAGCGAACAGG
rnacentral:rRNA from 1 species